CACUGUAAAGCUAUCUAGCAUUAACCUUUUAAGUUAAAGACCGAGAAAACCUAUUCUCUACAGUGA
ensembl:Mt_tRNA